rnacentral:rRNA from 1 species
CAUGCCGCGUGCAGGAUGACGGUCCUAUGGAUUGUAAACUGCUUUUGUACAGGAAGAAACACUGGUUCGUGAACCAGCUUGACGGUACUGUAAGAAUAAGGAUCGGCUAACUCCGUGCCAGCAGCCGCGGUAAUACGGAGGAUCCAAGCGUUAUCCGGAAUCAUUGGGUUUAAAGGGUCCGUAGGCGGUUUAGUAAGUCAGUGGUGAAAGCCCAUCGCUCAACGGUGGAACGGCCAUUGAUACUGCUAGACUUGAAUUAUUAGGAAGUAACUAGAAUAUGUAGUGUAGCGGUGAAAUGCUUAGAGAUUACAUGGAAUACCAAUUGCGAAGGCAGGUUACUACUAAUGGAUUGACGCUGAUGGACGAAAGCGUGGGGUAGCGACAGGAUUAGAUACCUGGUAAUCCCGCCCGUAAACGAUGGAUACUACUGUUGGGG